rnacentral:sRNA from 1 species
UAAGUGCCUCAGUAAUGAAUGCCCGAAA